rnacentral:rRNA from 1 species
AAAGAAACCAACAGGGAUUGCCCUAGUAACGGCGAGUGAAGCGGCAACAGCUCAAAUUUGAAAUCUGGCUUCGGCCCGAGUUGUAAUUUGCAGAGGAAGCUUUAGGCGCGGCACCUUCUGAGUCCCCUGGAACGGGGCGCCAUAGAGGGUGAGAGCCCCGUAUAGUUGGAUGCCUAGCCUGUGUAAAGCUCCUUCGACGAGUCGAGUAGUUUGGGAAUGCUGCUCAAAAUGGGAGGUAAAUUUCUUCUAAAGCUAAAUACCGGCCAGAGACCGAUAGCGCACAAGUAGAGUGAUCGAAAGAUGAAAAGCACUUUGAAAAGAGGGUUAAACAGCACGUGAAAUUGUUGAAAGGGAAGCGCUUGUGACCAGACUUGCGCCAGGCUGAUCAUCCGGUGUUCUCACCGGUGCACUCGGCCCGGCACAGGCCAGCAUCGGUUCUCGCGGGGGGAUAAAGGUCUCGGGAACGUAGCUCCUCCGGGAGUGUUAUAGCCCGGGGCGUAAUGCCCUCGCGGGGACCGAGGUUCGCGCAUCUGCAAGGAUGCUGGCGUA